UGGGACCUGGUGUAUGGUGCACAGCUGCUCUUAAUGUUCAAUGUUGAAAAUAAUGGAAUGAAUUGCAGCAGCGAGACGGGGUUCGAUUCCCCGGGUCCCCA